UGGCGGCGUGCCUAAUACAUGCAAGUCGAGCGAAUGAUUAGAGAAGCUGCUUCUCUCUGAUUAGCGGCGGACGGGUGAGUAACACGUGGGUAACCUACCCUAUAGACUGGGAUAACUCGGGAAACCGGAGCUAAUACCGGAUAAUACUCGAAACACAUGUUUUGAAGUUGAAAGAUGGUUUCGGCUAUCACUAUAGGAUGGACCCGCGGCGCAUUAGCUAGUUGGUGAGGUAACGGCUCACCAAGGCAACGAUGCGUAGCCGACCUGAGAGGGUGAUCGGCCACACUGGGACUGAGACACGGCCCAGACUCCUACGGGAGGCAGCAGUAGGGAAUCUUCCACAAUGGACGAAAGUCUGAUGGAGCAACGCCGCGUUGAGUGAAGAAGGAUUUCGGUUCGUAAAACUCUGUUGCAAGGGAAGAACAAGUAGCGUAGUAACUGGCGCUACCUUGACGGUACCUUGUUAGAAAGCCACGGCUAACUACGUGCCAGCCGCAGC
rnacentral:rRNA from 1 species